rnacentral:rRNA from 1 species
CCUACGGGUGGCAGCAGUGAGGAAUAUUGGUCAAUGGGCUUACGCCUGAACCAGCCAAGUCGCGUGAGGGAAGACUGCCCUAUGGGUUGUAAACCUCUUUUGUCAGGGAGCAACGCCGGCUACGUGUAGCCGGACUGAGAGUACCUGAAGAAAAAGCAUCGGCUAACUCCGUGCCAGCAGCCGCGGUAAUACGUAGGGGGCGAGCGUUGUCCGGAAUCACUGGGCGUAAAGGGCGCGUAGGCGGUAAUAUAAGUCAGAUGUGAAAGGUGGGGGCUCAACCCCUAGAGUGCAACUGAUACUGGAUAACUUGAGUGUGAGAGAGGGAAGCGGAAUUCCUAGUGUAGCGGUGAAAUGCGUAGAUAUUAGGAGGAACACCAGUGGCGAAGGCGGCUUUCUGGCUCAUAACUGACGCUGAGGCGCGAAAGCGUGGGGAGCAAACAGGAUUAGAUACCCUAGUAGUC